rnacentral:rRNA from 1 species
CCGGCGCACGGGUGAGUAACGCGUAUCCAACCUGCCCACCACUUGGGGAUAACCUUGCGAAAGUAAGACUAAUACCCAAUGACGUCUCUAGAAGACAUCUGAAAGGGAUUAAAGAUUUAUCGGUGAUGGAUGGGGAUGCGUCUGAUUAGCUUGUUGGCGGGGUAACGGCCCACCAAGGCGACGAUCAGUAGGGGUUCUGAGAGGAAGGUCCCCCACAUUGGAACUGAGACACGGUCCAAACUCCUACGGGAGGCAGCAGUGAGGGAUAUUGGUCAAUGGACGAGAGUCUGAACCAGCCAAGUAGCGUGCAGGAAGACGGCCCUAUGGGUUGUAAACUGCUUUUAUAAGGGAAUAAAGUGAGUCUCGUGAGACUUUUUGCAUGUACCUUAUGAAUAAGGACCGGCUAAUUCCGUGCCAGCAGCCGCGGUAAUACGGAAGGUCCGGGCGUUAUCCGGAUUUAUUGGGUUUAAAGGGAGCGUAGGCCGGAGAUUAAGCGUGUUGUGAAAUGUAGACGCUCAACGUCUGCACUGCAGCGCGAACUGGUUUCCUUGAGUACGCACAAAGUGGGCGGAAUUCGUGGUGUAGCGGUGAAAUGCUUAGAUAUCACGAAGAACUCCGAUUGCGAAGGCAGCUCACUGGAGCGCAACUGACGCUGAAGCUCGAAAGUGCGGGUAUCGAACAGGAUUAGAUACCCUGGUAGUCCGCACGGUAAACGAUGGAUGCCCGCUGUUGGUCUGAAUAGGUCAGCGGCCAAGCGAAAGCAUUAAGCAUCCCACCUGGGGAGUAC